CUAAUUUCCAUCUUGUGAAAAAUCAUUCCUCUCAAUCCUAUGACCUGCUGAUCACAAACAUCACUGAUUCAGAUGAGGGCUUCUACUACUGUGGAACUGAACAAUCUAAGGUGAAGGACAAAGAAACAAUUAAUCUUGAAUGCCUUUAUAGAUAUGGAAACCUCACCACAAAGAUCCUACUUCCUACAACAAUACAACUCUGACAGUAAAGUCAACUUCAGCCUCCUCAUCAGCCGUCAAACAGGAAACCCACAACAUCAAAAAGCCCCUUACAGAGUUACAAAAAUUCCCUUGCAGAGAGUUUGACAUGCAUUAUAAUGUACAGUUUGAUUUGCUUGACAUUUUAUAUUGAAAAUAUAUUUUGAGAACAGAGCAAAAGUAUUUCAGCGUCCCAGAUCUAUGCUAUCUGGACAUACAUAACUACCUUAUAAACUUCCCAUCCUACUACUCGGGGGACUCUUUAAAAGCUUACAAAAGCCUGGAGGGUUACAAAUGGACUCAAUCUGGCUUUGCAACAGCUCUGGAAUCUUCAAGCAAAAAAAAAAUUUCUGCAUCAUCACUGGAAAGGUUCAACAUUCCCAAAGGCUUAAUGACCCGCUGUUAAAGCCAUGGGUAGUAGUGAGAAAAGACGGGGUUGUCUUGGGAGCACACUGUAACUGCACAGCUGGCCUUGGUGAGAGCUGCUCACAUGUGUCAGCUGCUUUGUUCAGGACAUGGCAGCAUACCAGUGGAAAAAAAAAGAAGAGAUAGCUGUUACAUCUAAGAAGUGCAAGUGGGCCAUUCCAAGUGAGGAGUCUUUAAAGAAAGUGGAGUAUUAGCAAUGCAAGGACAUCAUUUUUAACAACUCUAAACAAAAUAAAAAAGAGAAAUCUGCAAAAGAUCAUCCUGGCCUCCCAGCUUUCCCACCUCUGACUGCUGCUGAGCAAGACCAACUGUAUCACAACCUCUCCCAAUGCCGCACACAAGAGGGGAAGAUCAUCAAAGCUAAAUUAAAAUUCUAAAUUAAUGCUAUUUUUGUUAUGAAGCAAGUGGCUAGUUUGUAGAUUUUUGUUCACU
ensembl:lncRNA